AAAGUUACGCUAAUACCGCAUACGAUCUCAGGAUGAAAGUGGGGGACCGCAAACCUCACGCUCCUGGAGCGGCCGAUAUCUGAUUAGCUAGUAGGUAGGGUAAAGGCCUACCUAGGCGACGAUCAGUAGCUGGUCUGAGAGGACGACCAGCCACACUGGAACUGAGACACGGUCCAGACUCCUACGGGAGGCAGCAGUGGGGAAUUUUGGACAAUGGGGGCAACCCUGAUCCAGCAAUGCCGCGUGAGUGAAGAAGGCCUUCGGGUUGUAAAGCUCUUUUGUCAGGGAAGAAACGGUGGAGGUUAAUACCUUCUGCUAAUGACGGUACCUGAAGAAUAAGCACCGGCUAACUACGUGCCAGCAGCCGCGGUAAUACGUAGGGUGCAAGCGUUAAUCGGAAUUACUGGGCGUAAAGCGUGCGCAGGCGGUUGUGCAAGACAGAUGUGGAAUCCCCGGGCUCAACCUGGGAAUUGCAUUUGUGACUGUACGGCUAGAGUGUGUCAGAGGGGGGUAGAAUUCCACGUGUAGCAGUGAAAUGCGUAGAGAUGUGGAGGAAUACCGAUGGCGAAGGCAGCCCCCUGGGAUAACACUGACGCUCAUGCACGAAAGCGUGGGGAGCAAACAGGAUUAGAUACCCUGGUAGUCCACGCCCUAAACGAUGUCUACUAGUUGUCGGGUCUUAAUUGAAUUGGUAACGCAGCUAACGCGUGAAGUAGACCGCCUGGGGAGUACGGUCGCAAG
rnacentral:rRNA from 1 species